GGUGAGAUGGCCGAGCGGUCUAAGGCGCCAGAUUAAGGUAUUCCAAGCCUGGAGCUUGAUACCUUCUGGUCAGAAAUGGCGUGGGUUCGAAUCCCACUCUCAUCA
rfam:Tulasnella calospora MTT 4182 unplaced genomic scaffold scaffold_79, whole genome shotgun sequence.